rnacentral:rRNA from 1 species
UACAGAGGGUGCAAGCGUUGCUCGGAUUUACUGGGCGUAAAGCGUACGCAGACGGUGAGAAAGGUCGGAUGUGAAAGCCCCGGGCUCAACCCGGGAACUGCAUCCGAAACCAUCUCGCUAGAGUAUGGGAGAGGGAAGCGGAAUUCCUGGUGGUAGAGGUGAAAUUCGUAGAUAUCAAGGAGGAACACCGGCGGCGAAGGGCGGCUUCC